AAAACAGGAGGGCAAAGUGAAAUUGGCACUUUGAAGGCAUCAUUUGACCAGCUAAAAGCCGAAAUGGAGAACAUUGGAAAUUUGCACAUUCAGCUCUCUGGGAUGUUAAGAGAAGAGGCGAAACGAAUGGAGCAGUUCAGAGAGCGACAAAAGGAGC